rnacentral:rRNA from 1 species
CAUUAUUGAAUAAACCUGGCUUGGUUGAUGCUGGUCUUUUCGGAGACAUGUGCACACCUUGUCAUCUUUAUAUCUCCACCUGUGCACCUUUUGUAGACCUGGAUUCAACUUUCCGAGGAAACUCGGUUGUGAGGAAUUGCUUAAUAGGCUUUCCUUGUUAGUUUCCAGGGCUAUGUUUUCAUAUACACCUUAAGAAUGUAACAGAAUGUCAUUAUUAGGCUUAAUUGCCUUAUAAACUAUAUACAACUUUCAGCAACGGAUCUCUUGGCUCUCGCAUCGAUGAAGAACGCAGCGAAAUGCGAUAAGUAAUGUGAAUUGCAGAAUUCAGUGAAUCAUCGAAUCUUUGAACGCACCUUGCGCUCCUUGGUAUUCCGAGGAGCAUGCCUGUUUGAGUGUCAUUAAAUUCUCAACCUUUAUUAACUUUUUGGUUAGUAAGUGGAUUGGAAGUAGGGGCAUGUUGGUUUCUUCAUUGAAAUAAACUCUCCUGAAAUGCAUUAGCUGGUUGCCUUGUGCAAACAUGUCUAUUGGUGUGAUAAUUAUCUACGCCGUGGGCUAUUUGCCGUUUAUAGCACUGCUUAUAAUCGUCUGUUCAUUCAGACAAUAUAUGACAAUUGACCUCAAAUCAGGUAGGAUACCCCAGUCCC